UACGGAGGGGGCAAGCGUUAUCCGGAUUUACUGGGUGUAAAGGGAGCGUAGACGGCGAUGCAAGCCAGAUGUGAAAGCCCGGGGCUCAACCCCGGGACUGCAUUUGGAACUGUGUGGCUGGAGUGUCGGAGAGGCAGGCGGAAUUCCUAGUGUAGCGGUGAAAUGCGUAGAUAUUAGGAGGAACGCCAGUGGCGAAGGCGGCCUACUGGACGAUGACUGACGUUAAGGCUCGAAAGCGUGGGGAGCAAACAGG
rnacentral:rRNA from 1 species